CCAUAAACCAUGCCUGCCAGCGAUCCGCCGGCGUUCCUCCGAUGACCCGGCGGGCAGCUUCCGGGAAACCAGAGCUUUUGGGUUCCGGGGGAAGUAUGGUUGCAAAGCUGAAACUUAAAGGAAUUGACGGAAGGGCACCACCAGGAGUGGAGCCUGCGGCUUAAUUUGACUCAACACGGGAAAACUCACCAGGCCCGGACACCGGAAGGAUUGACAGAUUGAGAGCUCUUUCUUGAUUCGGUGGGUGGUGGUGCAUGGCCGUUCUUAGUUGGUGGAGCGAUUUGUCUGGUUAAUUCCGAUAACGAACGAGACUCUAUCCUAUUAAAUAGACGCAUCCGGUAUCCGCAAUCGUGCUACCGGCGAGUAAAUUUCUUCUUAGAGGUACGGGCGGCUGCUAGCCGCACGAUACUGGGCAAUAACAGGUCUGUGAUGCCCUUAGAUGUCCUGGGCCGCACGCGCGCUACACUGAAGGAAUCAGCGUGUCUUCCCUGUCCGUGAGGACCGGGUAACCCGCUGAACCUCCUUCGUGAUAGGGAUUGGGGCUUGAAACUGUUCCCCAUGAACGAGGAAUUCCCAGUAAGCGCGAGUCAUAAGCUCGCGUUGAUUACGUCCCUGCCCUUUGUACACACCGCCCGUCGCUACUACCGAUUGAAUGAUUUAGUGAGGUCUUCGGACUGGCGCGCGGAGUCGGCUUCGUCGCCUCCGAUGUCGUCGGAAAGAUGACCAAACUUGAUCAUUUAGAGGAAGUAAAAGUCGUAACAAGGUUUCCGA
rnacentral:rRNA from 1 species